GUUAAGUAGACCGCCUGGGGAGUACGGUCGCAAGAUUAAAACUCAAAUGAAUUGACGGGGGCCCGCACAAGCGGUGGAGCAUGUGGUUUAAUUCGAUGCAACGCGAAGAACCUUACCUACUCUUGACAUCCAGAGAAUCUAGCGGAGACGCUGGAGUGCCUUCGGGAGCUCUGAGACAGGUGCUGCAUGGCUGUCGUCAGCUCGUGUUGUGAAAUGUUGGGUUAAGUCCCGCAACGAGCGCAACCCUUAUCCUUGUUUGCCAGCACGUAAUGGUGGGAACUCCAGGGAGACUGCCGGUGAUAAACCGGAGGAAGGUGGGGACGACGUCAAGUCAUCAUGGCCCUUACGAGUAGGGCUACACACGUGCUACAAUGGCGUAUACAGAGGGCAGCGAUAC
rnacentral:rRNA from 1 species